AAGGCCGACCAGGCGACCGCGUCACGUAUUGUCGUGCCGAGGAACGUCCGGGCUCCGUAGAGCAGGACGGUGGGUAACGCCCACCCGGGGAAACCCGCGAGCAAGCGCAACAGAAAGCAGACCGCCGACACUGUCGGUAAGGGUGAAACGGUGGUGUAAGAGACCACCAGCGGCGGCGGUGACGUCGUCGGCUGGGCAAGCCUCGUUCGGAGCAAGGCCAGACAGGGAGUGGGCUGCUCGUCCAUACUCCCGGGUAGGCUGCUAGAGCGUACUGGCAACAGUGCGCCGAGAUAGAUGGUCGCCCCCACGCGUAGCGUGGUGACAGAACCCGGCGUAACGGUCGGCCUUUUCC
rnacentral:RNase_P_RNA from 1 species